AGUGAACGCUGGCGGCGUGCUUAACACAUGCAAGUCGAACGAGAACGGGUUAUAGCUUGCUAUAAUUGUCAGCUAAGUGGCGCACGGGUGAGUAAUGUAUAGGUAAUAUGCCUCUUACUAAGGGAUAACAAAUGGAAACGUUUGCUAAUACCUUAUACUCCUUAUUAACAUAAGUUAAUAAGGGAAAGAUUUAUUGGUAAGAGAUUAGCCUGUAUUGUAUCAGUUAGUUGGUGGGGUAAUGGCUUACCAAGACUAUGACACAUAACUGGUUUGUAGAGGAUGAUCAGUCACACUGGAACUGAGACACGGUCCAGACUCCUACGGGAGGCAGCAGUGGGGAAUAUUGCACAAUGGACGAAAGUCUGAUGCAGCAACGCCGCGUGGAGGAUGACACAUUUCGGUGCGUAAACUCCUUUUAUAUGAGAAGAUAAUGACGGUAUUAUAUGAAUAAGCACCGGCUAACUCCGUGCCAGCAGCCG
rnacentral:rRNA from 1 species